AUUCAGCCGACGAGUCCGAAAUAGGACGAAAUGCGCAUCCUGGAU
rfam:Trichobilharzia regenti genome assembly, scaffold: TRE_scaffold0022430